rnacentral:rRNA from 1 species
GAAUCCGCCAAGGAGUGUGUAACAACUCACCUGCCGAAUGAAUUAGCCCUGAAAAUGGAUGGCGCUUAAGCGGGUGGCCGACACCAUGCCGUCUGGACAAGUUUCAGUUUCAGAUGAGUAGGAGGGCGUGGGGGCCGUGUCGAAGCAUGCGUGCAAACGCGUGUGGAACGGCCUCUAGUGCAGAUCUUGGUGGUAGUAGCAAGUAUUCAAGCGAGAUCCUUGAAGGGCGAAGCGGGGAAGGGUUCCACGCGAACAUUGAUUGGGCGUGGGUGAGUCGUUCCUAAGCCGAGUGGCGAUUGCUAAGUAGCGGCGAAAGGGAAGCGGGUUGAAAUUCCCGCACACGGAUGUGGAAGCGGUGACGCGAUUGAUGGGGCGAAAACGCUGGCGACGGCGCUGGGCAGAGUUGUCUUUUCUGUUUGACCAGGUUUGCGCGCGCGGUGUGGAAUCCGCUUGUCGGGAGAAACACGCGCGUGCGGGCAGAGCGCCGGGGCUUUUCCGGCGUCCAGCUCGCCGUCGACGGCCCUUGAAAAUUUGCCUGCUGAAUUUUUAAAAAUCCACGCCGUGGCGUACCGAUCACCGCAUCAGGUCCCCAAGGUGAACAGCCUCUGCUCAGUAUGAAUAAUGCAGGUAAGGGAAGUCGGCA